rnacentral:rRNA from 1 species
GAUGAACGCUAGCGGCAGGCUUAACACAUGCAAGUCGAGGGGUAUAGGGAGCUUGCUUCCUAGAGACCGGCGCACGGGUGCGUAACGCGUAUGCAAUCUACCUUUUGCAGAGGGAUAGCCCAGAGAAAUUUGGAUUAAUACCUCAUAGUAUAGCAGUUUCGCAUGAAACCACUAUUAAAGUCACAACGGCAAAAGAUGAGCAUGCGUCCCAUUAGCUUGUUGGUAAGGUAACGGCUUACCAAGGCAACGAUGGGUAGGGGUCCUGAGAGGGAGAUCCCCCACACUGGUACUGAGACACGGACCAGACUCCUACGGGAGGCAGCAGUGAGGAAUAUUGGACAAUGGGCGCAAGCCUGAUCCAGCCAUGCCGCGUGCAGGAUGACGGUCCUAUGGAUUGUAAACUGCUUUUGUACAGGAAGAAACACUGGUUCGUGAACCGGGCUUGACGGUACUGUAAGAAUAAGGAUCGGCUAACUCCGUGCCAGCAG